rnacentral:rRNA from 1 species
GGGGACUACAAGCAUGAGCUUAAAACCCAAAGGACUUGGCGGUGCUUUAGCCCCACCUAGAGGAGCCUGUUCUAGAACCGAUAACCCUCGUUAAACCUCACCCCUUCUUGUUAUAUUACCGCCUAUAUACCGCCGUCGUCAGCUUACCUUGUGAAAGAAUAAUAGUAAACAAAAACGGUUUAACCCAAAACGUCAGGUCGAGGUGUAGCGAAUGAAGGGGGAAGAAAUGGGCUACAUUUCCUAAAUGUAGGAAAUUACGGAAUAUUACGAUGAAAAAGAAUAUAAAGGAGGAUUUAGCAGUAAAUGGAAAAUAGAGUGUUCCGUUGAAACUGGCCCUGAAGCGCGCACACACCGCCCGUCACUCUCCCCUAAUCUAUUCUAUUUUUUAAAUAAAACAUUAUUUUGAUGCAAGGGGAGGCAAGUCGUAACAUGGUAAGUGUACCGGAAGGUGUACUUGGAAAAU